rnacentral:rRNA from 1 species
CCUACGGGAGGCUGCAGUGGGGAAUAUUGCACAAUGGGCGCAAGCCUGAUGCAGCCAUGCCGCGUGUGUGAAGAAGGCCUUCGGGUUGUAAAGCACUUUCAGCGGGGAGGAAGGCGUUAAGGUUAAUAACCUUGGCGAUUGACGUUACCCGCAGAAGAAGCACCGGCUAACUCCGUGCCAGCAGCCGCGGUAAUACGGAGGGUGCAAGCGUUAAUCGGAAUUACUGGGCGUAAAGCGCACGCAGGCGGUCUGUCAAGUCGGAUGUGAAAUCCCCGGGCUCAACCUGGGAACUGCAUUCGAAACUGGCAGGCUAGAGUCUUGUAGAGGGGGGUAGAAUUCCAGGUGUAGCGGUGAAAUGCGUAGAGAUCUGGAGGAAUACCGGUGGCGAAGGCGGCCCCCUGGACAAAGACUGACGCUCAGGUGCGAAAGCGUGGGGAGCAAACAGGAUUAAUACCCUAGUAGUC